GUAGAAGGGAAAACCAUCAGCAGCUCCAGCCGCUGUUCUAGGAAAUGGUUAUUCAGUUACCAAUAACAACAGUUGCUAUGGAGACAGGCGGUCCAGCCCGCCAGCCUGGAAUUGCUCUUAGGCCAGGGCCAGAUUAGCCACCUCCACACCCUUUCCAAACCAAGUGGCAGCCUGAGCCCCAGUUCUCCUUCAAUUACCUGAUCAAGGAAUCUCAACUCCCAGUGUGAGUUUUUCCCACCACAGCGUGAAUCCAGGUUGUUCCUGCAAUGUUAUGCAAUGUGAGUGGAGCUUUCUAACAAUAAGAGCACCAUCUAUGGUCUGGCUGUCUGCUGAGCAGCCUCAUCUGUCAAAGGAGCAGAAAAUUCCAAAGCAUGAUCCUAUGAAUCAAACCUGACACCCACAGACACAGGAGCUCCCUCCUCCCCAACCGCCAAACCCUCAAGCUUCCACAGAGAUCUGAGCCUCUCUGGGUUGAGGAAGAGAGGGACUGUUCUCCCGUAUUAAUCAGAUCCCAUUAAUUUUUCAAAGUAGACAACAGCCCACUUACUCAUCUGCUGUGGAGCCUCAUCCAUAAUUGAUCCUGAACUGCACUUACCCUAACAGACCGCGCAGAUGCCGGCUGCACGUAGAGCUCUGGGAGGGUUGUCUACUGAUGAGCCUACUCCAAGUAGUGAAGGCACUCACAGCCAUGGCACGUGGUAACUUCAAUGGGCCUGACACUUUUCCUUCCAUCAAAAACAACAAGGAAGAGGAAAGGAAUGACUCCCCAGAUGCUCUGAGUGGUUGUUCUGAGGUCAUUUCUAUGUACAAGUCAGCUUGAGGGGAAUUAAAAA
rnacentral:lncRNA from 1 species